GGACGUUACUAACGACGAUAUGCUUUGGGGAGCUGUAAGUAAGCUUUGAUCCAGAGAUUUCCGAAUGGGGAAACCCAGCAUGAGUUAUGUCAUGUUAUCGAUAUGUGAAUACAUAGCAUAUCAGAAGGCACACCCGGAGAACUGAAACAUCUUAGUACCCGGAGGAAGAGAAAGAAAAUUCGAUUCCCUUAGUAGCGGCGAGCGAAACGGGAAGAGCCCAAACCAACAAGCUUGCUUGUUGGGGUUGUAGGACACUCUAUACGGAGUUACAAAGGACGACAUUAGACGAAUCAUCUGGAAAGAUGAAUCAAAGAAGGUAAUAAUCCUGUAGUCGAAAAUGUUGUCUCUCUUGAGUGGAUCCUGAGUACGACGGAGCACGUGAAAUUCCGUCGGAAUCUGGGAGGACCAUCUCCUAAGGCUAAAUACUCUCUAGUGACCGAUAGUGAACCAGUACCGUGAGGGAAAGGUGAAAAGCACCCNACUCCGCCUGGGGAGUACGACCGCAAGGUUGAAACUCAAAGGAAUUGACGGGGACCCGCACAAGCGGUGGAGCAUGUGGUUUAAUUCGAAGCAACGCGAAGAACCUUACCAAAUCUUGACAUCCUUUGACAACUCUAGAGAUAGAGCCUUCCCCUUCGGGGGACAAAGUGACAGGUGGUGCAUGGUUGUCGUCAGCUCGUGUCGUGAGAUGUUGGGUUAAGUCCCGCAACGAGCGCAACCCUUAAGCUUAGUUGCCAUCAUUAAGUUGGGCACUCUAAGUUGACUGCCGGUGACAAACCGGAGGAAGGUGGGGAUGACGUCAAAUCAUCAUGCCCCUUAUGAUUUGGGCUACACACGUGCUACAAUGGACAAUACAAAGGGCAGCGAAACCGCGAGGUCAAGCAAAUCCCAUAAAGUUGUUCUCAGUUCGGAUUGUAGUCUGCAACUCGACUACAUGAAGCUGGAAUCGCUAGUAAUCGUAGAUCAGCAUGCUACGGUGAAUACGUUCCCGGGUCUUGUACACACCGCCCGUCACACCACGAGAGUUUGUAACACCCGAAGCCGGUGGAGUAACCUUUUAGGAGCUAGCCGUCGAAGGUGGGACAAAUGAUUGGGGUGAAGUCGUAACAAGGUAGCCGUAUCGGAAGGUGCGGCUG
rnacentral:rRNA from 1 species